rnacentral:rRNA from 1 species
CUUGGUCAUUUAGAGGAAGUAAAAGUCGUAACAAGGUUUCCGUAGGUGAACCUGCGGAAGGAUCAUUAAAGAAUCGCCCCGUUUUUUGAAAUGGGUUCUAUUCCAAACCGUGUCUAUAUACCUUUGUUGCUUUGGCAGGCCGUCCUUCGGGCGCGGCUCCGGUCGAGAGUGCCUGCCAGAGGACCCCAACUCUUUUGUUUAGUGAUGUCUGAGUACUAUAUAAUAGUUAAAACUUUCAACAACGGAUCUCUUGGUUCUGGCAUCGAUGAAGAACGCAGCGAAAUGCGAUAAGUAAUGUGAAUUGCAGAAUUCAGUGAAUCAUCGAAUCUUUGAACGCACAUUGCGCCCCUUGGUAUUCCGAGGGGCAUGCCUGUUCGAGCGUCAUUAUGACCACUCAAGCCUAGCUUGGUAUUGGGGUUCGCGGUCUCGCGGCUCUUAAAAUCAGUGGCGGUGCCGUCUGGCUUCUAAGCGUAGUAAUUUUCUCGCUAUAGGGUUCCGGCGGUUGCUUGCCAAAACCCCCCAUUUUUUACGGUUGACCUCGGAUCAGGUAGGGAUACCCGCUGAACUUAAGCAUAUCAAUAAGCGGAGGA